UUACGCUCAUAUCACGUUUAAACAUUGGUUCUCGUCUAAUCUCCGAAGUUAAGCAACGUCGAGACCGGUCAGUAGCUAGAUAGGUGACCGCUUGGGAAUACCAGGUGUUGUAAGC